rnacentral:rRNA from 1 species
GUCCAGACUCCUACGGGAGGCAGCAGUGAGGAAUAUUGGUCAAUGGACGCAAGUCUGAACCAGCCAAGUAGCGUGCAGGAUGACGGCCCUCCGGGUUGUAAACUGCUUUUAGUUGGGAAUAAAAGGGGGCUCGUGAGCCCCGUAUUGUAUGUACCAUCAGAAAAAGGACCGGCUAAUUCCGUGCCAGCAGCCGCGGUAAUACGGAGGAUGCGAGCGUUAUCCGGAUUUAUUGGGUUUAAAGGGUGCGUAGGCGGACGCUUAAGUCAGCGGUAAAAUGGCGGGCCUCAACCUCGUCGAGCCGUUGAAACUGGGUGCCUUGAGUGGCGAGAAGUACGCGGAAUGCGUGGUGUAGCGGUGAAAUGCAUAGAUAUCACGCAGAACUCCGAUUGCGAAGGCAGCGUACCGGCGCCCAACUGACGCUGAAGCACGAAGGCGUGGGUAUCGAACAGGAUUAGAUACCCGAGUA